AAGUCGUAACAAGGUUUCCGUAGGUGAACCUGCGGAAGGAUCAUUAACACGUAUCCAACGUUAACCCCCCUGUGAACCUUCAGUGUGCUCGUACGCUUUGUUAGAAAGUAGCAAUCCCUGGUAAAUCCAGGAAUCUCUGCGAAGGGUGUGCAUGUUGCGCGAGGUAAGUGGCCUGGCAUCCCCAAGUAGUUAUUGUCUGAAAGUGUCAUUAACUCCGUAAGGAUGAGUCACGAUCGUUGGAGGCCGACACGGCCCCUUAUCACAAAACCCAUGCAUGAAGACGCGCCUGCGCUAAAACCGCGGCGACCAAAAACCGAACAACUGUUAACAAUGGAUAUCUUGGUUCUC
rnacentral:misc_RNA from 1 species